UACAGAGGGGGCAAGCGUUGUUCGGAAUUAUUGGGCGUAAAGGGCGCGUAGGCGGCCAUUCAAGUGACGGGUGAAAGCCCUCGGCUUAACCGAGGAACUGCCUGUCAGACUGGAUGGCUUGAGACCGGGAGAGGUGAGUGGAAUUCCCAGUGUAGCGGUGAAAUGCGUAGAUAUUGGGAGGAACACCAGUGGCGAAGGCGGCUCUCUGGGCCUUACCUGACGCUGAGGAGCGAAAGCUGGGGGAGCGAACAGG
rnacentral:rRNA from 1 species